CACCUCUAUCACUGUUCCUGGAUGAACCUCAGACCUGUUCUGUAGGUAGCCAGCCCAUCUGUGGGAUGGACCCCUUGUGCUUGUGUUGCAGAUUGUCUCCAGUAAACAGAUGGUCCCUCUCAAAACUAUUGUUGAGAAGAUGAAUGUUCAUCAAAACCAGGAACUUUUCAACCAAUGGUAGCAAAGAUGACUUAGAAAUCCAGAUGAAAGUGAAACCAGAACAAUAUCCUCGCUAUUAGUUGUCACCUCCUACUAUGUAUAUCCACUUGAUGGCAGCAUUUGAACACAGAUCCACCCAAAGCUCUUCAAGAAUGUCUCUGCAUUUUGCAUCAGGAAGUUCAUAACCCAACUCCAGUGACUGGUGAUGGGAAAAGGGCAGAAAAGGAAAACCUGCCCAUGGUUCUUCUCUUGCAGGUAACUACUGCUCAUGACCUGGUAGCUGUAGCAAAGCCAAAACCACAUCUGCAUUUGUAGCGGGAGCCAGCAGUGUUAUCCCAGCAGGAUUACUGGUCUCCAUUGGAACUGAAUUGGAGAGUAGAGACCUGACAUCUACAAAGCUAUAGGGAUAAUGGUACUUCUGGAAAGGCUCUGUCAAUAAGAAUAUCCGGUCUCAAUCUUCACCUGUCAUCUAUGAACAUAUACAUAUCUACAUUUUUGUAUGUAAUGCUGGGUUUUGGUGCCCUUCCUGUAGUAUGUAAAAUUCACACAUUCUUCUAAAAUGCGCAUGGAUUUUGAUAGACUGAACACAAACAGUAUGCACUUUUAAAUCAAAACUGCAUGAGUGAAGAUAGCCUAAAUGUAUGGACACUGAGAUGAGAUAAACGAUGAAAGAAAAACAAAAUAUUUUAUACUAAUUCAGGUAUAUGAAAAGCUUUUUGUACAGUGUACAGUCCUAGCCUCUCACAUUUUACUAGUUUGUUUGCGCUUUUUUUCAACCCAAAAGGACAUGCACAGAAACUUUGUAAUGUCAUUUUCAUUCCCAUACUACCCAUGCCAUGUGGUAAAAUUUUGAUUUGUCUGCCUCUGCCUUACUAAUGUUGAAAGGUGUUCAAACUAGAAGGGGGAAAACACAUUUUAAUUUUAAACAACCUUUUUUUUUUUUUUUUUUUGUAACAAAUUCAAGGCAGAAUUUCACCCAGUCUUCCAGAUCAGUAGCAGACAUCUCACAACUUUCUGAGAGUUGUACUUCUCAAAUAUUUCCAGCAAGGAAUGGUUAAUAUUUUGGCAGGCUGGAUAAAUGUGGAGUUCUUUGGACUUAUUCCAUUCUACCUUCCAGUGUUUAAAUUACUGGAAUUGUUUUAAGCGUCCUGCAUCUUAUCAUGGGGCAAGUGCAAGCUUUUAAGGGAUUUGAGUCUCAACUCUCACCUGUGCCUGGUUUUCUUCCUAAAUAAUGGGAUUUGGAGGACUGAGGAGAUCUGACUGAUCUAAUGGCUGGGAGCCUGGAUUGCUGAGAGAUAUAAGAGGCAGUCUGUUUGCAGGGAGUGUUGGAGCAAUCCCUGUGGUUUUGACUCUGAGAAAGAAUUAGUGGUGACUCCUUGCUGAGGAGGAACAAAGAUUGCCUGAAAGCCAGAGAUGAAAGCGUAAGGAAUUGCCUGUGGACUUAGUGGUGAGAGAGACCCAUAAGGGGACCAAGUCUGGUGUUGAGCCCUGUCUGGCAGAGUUUCUCUUUAGACGACUGCAGAGUUGCUAUACUAUUCAUGAAAUGAGCUUGUCAGAGAAGACCUUAAUUUGUGCUUUAGUACAGAACAUGUGAGAAGUUGAGGGACCUACG